AGAGUUUGAUUCUGGCUCAGGACGAACGCUGGCGGCGUGCCUAACACAUGCAAGUCGAACGGAGUCAUAUUCAACACGGAGUUUUCGCGGGAGCGAGGGCUGCGUGUUGGAUAUGACUUAGUGGCGGACGGGCGAGUAACGCGUGAGCAACCUGUCCUUAAGAGGGGGACAACGGCUGGAAACGGCCGCUAAUACCGCAUAACAUCACGAAGGCGCAUGCCGUUGUGAUCAAAGGAGCAAUCCGCUUAAGGGUGGGCUCGCGUCCGAUUAGCUAGUUGGUGAGGUAAAGGCUCACCAAGGCGACGAUCGGUAGCCGAACUGAGAGGUUGAACGGCCGCAUUGGGACUGAGAGACGGCCCAG
rnacentral:rRNA from 1 species